rnacentral:rRNA from 1 species
AACGAACGCUGGCGGCAUGCCUAACACAUGCAAGUCGAACGAGACCUUCGGGUCUAGUGGCGCACGGGUGCGUAACGCGUGGGAACCUGCCCUUAGGUUCGGAAUAACUCCCCGAAAGGGGUGCUAAUACCGGAUAAUGUCUUCGGACCAAAGAUUUAUCGCCGUUGGAUGGGCCCGCGUUGGAUUAGCUAGUUGGUAGGGUAAAAGCCUACCAAGGCGACGAUCCAUAGCUGGUCUGAGAGGAUGAUCAGCCACACUGGGACUGAGACACGGCCCAGACUCCUACGGGAGGCAGCAGUGGGGAAUAUUGGACAGUGGGCGAAAGCCUGAUCCAGCAAUGCCGCGUGAGUGAUGAAGGCCUUAGGGUUGUAAAGCUCUUUUACCCGGGAUGAUAAUGACAGUACCGGGAGAAUAAGCUCCGGCUAACUCCGUG